AUACGGCUGACGAGUGCCAAAUAGGACGAAACGUGCCUUCUGGAU
rfam:Schistosoma margrebowiei strain Zambia genome assembly, scaffold: SMRZ_contig0000052